GACGGAGGGUGCUAGCGUUGUUCGGAAUGACUGGGCGUAAAGGGCGCGUAGGCGGCUGGUUGCGUCGGAUGUGAAAGCCCGGGGCUCAACCUCGGAACGGCAUCCGAUACGGGCUGGCUCGAGACCGAGAGAGGUGAGUGGAAUACCCAGUGUAGAGGUGAAAUUCGUAGAUAUUGGGUGGAACACCGGUGGCGAAAGCGGCUCACUGGCUCGGUUCUGACGCUGAGGCGCGAAAGCGUGGGGAGCAAACAGG
rnacentral:rRNA from 1 species